GACGAACGCUGGCGGCGUGCCUAAUACAUGCAAGUAGAACGCUGAAGGAGGAGCUUGCUUCUCUGGAUGAGUUGCGAACGGGUGAGUAACGCGUAGGUAACCUGCCUGGUAGCGGGGGAUAACUAUUGGAAACGAUAGCUAAUACCGCAUAAGAGUAGAUGUUGCAUGACAUUUGCUUAAAAGGUGCAAUUGCAUCACUACCAGAUGGACCUGCGUUGUAUUAGCUAGUUGGUGAGGUAACGGCUCACCAAGGCAACGAUACAUAGCCGACCUGAGAGGGGGAUCGGCCACACUGGGAAUGAGACACGGCCCAGACUCCUACGGGAGGCAGCAGUAGGGAAUCUUCGGCAAUGGACGGAAGUCUGACCGAGCAACGCCGCGUGAGUGAAGAAGGUUUUCGGAUCGUAAAGCUCUGUUGUAAGAGAAGAACGAGUGUGAGAGUGGAAAGUUCACACUGUGACGGUAUCUUACCAGAAAGGGACGGCUAACUACGUG
rnacentral:rRNA from 1 species